rnacentral:rRNA from 1 species
CCGUAGAGAGUUUCGUAGUCCUAGGCGUCACGGAUGAACGCUGCGGCGUGCCUACACAUGCAAGUCGAGCGAAGCGACUUCGAUUAGAACUCUUCGAGGGACGAGGAAGUGACUGAGCGGCGACGGGUGAGUAACGCGUGGGCAACCUGCCUUACGACAGGGGAUAACAGUUAGAAAUGACUGCUAAUACCGCAUAAGACCACAUUGCCGCAUGGCAGGGUGGUAAAAACUCCGGUGGUGUAAGAUGGGCCCGCGUCUGAUUAGGUAGUUGGCAGGGUAGAGGCCUACCAAGCCUACGAUCAGUAGCCGGCCUGAGAGGGUGGACGGCCACAUUGGGACUGAGACACGGCCCAAACUCCUACGGGAGGCAGCAGUGGGGAAUAUUGCACAAUGGGGGAAACCCUGAUGCAGCGACGCCGCGUGAGUGAGGAAGUAUUUCGGUAUGUAAAGCUCUAUCAGCAGGGAAGAAAAUGACGGUACCUGACUAAGAAGCCCCCGGCUAACUACGUG